AUUUAGAGGAAGGAGAAGUCGUAACAAGGUUUCCGUAGGUGAACCUGCGGAAGGAUCAUUGUCGAAACCUGCCCAGCAGAACGACCCGCGAACGCGUUUGUUUAUCCUCUUCCGUCGGGGAUGGGGCUCCGUCCCCGUCCCGGACGAACAACGAACCCCCCGGCGCGGAACGCGCCAAGGAAUACCCCAACGAGACGGCCAGCCGCCCGCGCUCCGUUCGCGGCCCGCGCGGGGGGCGUCGGCGUCUUACUUAACAAAAAACGACUCUCGGCAACGGAUAUCUCGGCUCUCGCAUCGAUGAAGAACGUAGCGAAAUGCGAUACUUGGUGUGAAUUGCAGAAUCCCGUGAACCACCGAGUCUUUGAACGCAAGUUGCGCCCGAAGCCGUGAGGCCGAGGGCACGUCUGCCUGGGCGUCACGCAUCGCGUCGCCCCCCCUCAGCGACCCCGCGUCGUUUUGGGAGGGGGAGCGGACGAUGGCCUCCCGUGCCCCUGCCCGGGGCGCGGCUGGCCCAAACGCGAGUCCCCGGCGACGGACGUCACGGCGAGUGGUGGUCGUACCCAGCGUGCAUAUCGUCGCGCCGUGCCCGUCGCCCGCGGGCUACAGGCCCUGCCGGGCCGCUCCGAGCGGCCCUCCGACCGCGACCCCAGGUCAGGCGGGACUACCCGCUGAGUUUA
rnacentral:rRNA from 1 species